rnacentral:rRNA from 1 species
UACGAAGGGUGCAAACGUUGCUCGGAAUUAUUGGGCGUAAAGCGCACGUAGGCGGCUUAGCAAGUCGGAAGUGAAAGCCCUUGGCUCAACCAAGGAAGUGCUUUCGAAACUGCUGAGCUUGAGUAGUUAAGAGGAUCGCGGAAUUCCCGGUGUAGAGGUGAAAUUCGUAGAUAUCGGGAGGAACACCAGUGGCGAAGGCGGCGAUCUGGGAACAUACUGACGCUGAG